rnacentral:rRNA from 1 species
UACCCCAAACCGACACAGGUGGUCAGGUAGAGAAUACUCAGGCGCUUGAGAGAACUCGGGUGAAGGAACUAGGCAAAAUGGUGCCGUAACUUCGGGAGAAGGCACGCUGGCGGUAGGUAAAGUCCCUCGCGGACAGAGCUGAAGCCAGUCGAAGAUACCAGCUGGCUGCAACUGUUUAUUAAAAACACAGCACUGUGCAAACACGAAAGUGGACGUAUACGGUGUGACGCCUGCCCGGUGCUGGAAGGUUAAUUGAUGGGGUCAGCCGUAAGGCGAAGCUCCUGAUCGAAGCCCCAGUAAACGGCGGCCGUAACUAUAACGGUCCUAAGGUAGCGAAAUUCCUUGUCGGGUAAGUUCCGACCUGCACGAAUGGCGUAAUGAUGGCCAGGCUGUCUC